GUAGGUGGCAAGCGUUGUCCGGAAUUAUUGGGCGUACAGCGCGCGCAGGCGGUUCUUUAAGUCUGAUGUGAAAGCCCACGGCUCAACCGUGGAGGGUCAUUGGAAACUGGAGAACUUGAGUACAGAAGAGGAAAGCGGAAUUCCACGUGUAGCGGUGAAAUGCGUAGAGAUGUGGAGGAACACCAGUGGCGAAGGCGGCUUUCUGGUCUGUAACUGACGCUGAGGCGCGAAAGCGUGGGGAGCAAACAGGAUUAGAUACCCUGGUAGUCCACGCCGUAAACGAUGAGUGCUAAGUGUUAGGGGGGUUUCCGCCCCCCUUAGUGCUGCAGCUAACGCAUUAAGCACUCCGCCUGGGAGUACGGCCGCAAGGCUG
rnacentral:rRNA from 1 species